rnacentral:rRNA from 1 species
UACGAAGGGGGCUAGCGUUGCUCGGAAUUACUGGGCGUAAAGCGCACGUAGGCGGCUUUCUAAGUCGGGGGUGAAAUCCUGGAGCUCAACUCCAGAACUGCCUUCGAUACUGGAGAGCUUGAGUCCGGGAGAGGUGAGUGGAACUGCGAGUGUAGAGGUGAAAUUCGUAGAUAUUCGCAAGAACACCAGUGGCGAAGGCGGCUCACUGGCCCGGUACUGACGCUGAGGUGCGAAAGCGUGUGGAGCAAACAGG